UACGAAGGGGGCGAGCGUUGUUCGGAAUCACUGGGCGUAAAGGGCGCGUAGGCGGCCCUUCUUGUCGCGUGUGAAAGCCCCGGGCUCAACCUGGGAAUGGCGCGCGAGACGGGGGGGCUGGAGUUCGGGAGAGGAGCGUGGAAUUCCCAGUGUAGAGGUGAAAUUCGUAGAUAUUGGGAAGAACACCGGUGGCGAAGGCGGCGCUCUGGCCCGUAACUGACGCUGAGGUGCGAAAGCGUGGGGAGCAAACAGG
rnacentral:rRNA from 1 species